rnacentral:rRNA from 1 species
GACGAACGCUGGCGGCGUGCCUAAUACAUGCAAGUCGAGCGGACAGAAGGGAGCUUGCUCCCGGAAGUUAGCGGCGGACGGGUGAGUAACACGUGGGCAACCUACCCUGUAGAUCGGGAUAACAUCGAGAAAUCGGUGCUAAUACCGGAUAAUCAUUUGAAGUGCAUGCUUCGAAUGUAAAAGAUGGCUCAGGCUAUCACUACGGGAUGGGCCCGCGGCGCAUUAGCUAGUUGGUAUGGUAAUGGCUUACCAAGGCAACGCUGCGUAGCCGACCUGCGAGAGGGAUCGGCCGCACUGGGACUGAGACACGACCCAGACUCCUACGGGUGGCAGCAGUAGGGAAUCUUCCGCGAUGGGCGAAAGUCUGACGGAGCAACGCCGCGUGAGUGAUGAAGGUUUUCGGAUCGUAAAGCUCUGUUGUUAGGGAAGAACAAGUGCCGUUUGAAUAAGGCUGCACCUUGACGGUACCUACCAGAAAGCCACGGCUAACUACGUGACAGCCGCCGCGGUAACAC